GGAGAGGUGGCCGAGCGGUUUAAGGCGCUGGUCUCGAAAACCAGUAUGGGGGCAACUCCAUCGUGGGUUCGAAUCCCACCCUCUCCGCCA
rnacentral:tRNA from 1 species